rnacentral:rRNA from 1 species
UGGCGGACGGGUGAGUAAUGUCUGGGAAACUGCCUGAUGGAGGGGGAUAACUACUGGAAACGGUAGCUAAUACCGCAUAACGUCGCAAGACCAAAGAGGGGGACCUUCGGGCCUCUUGCCAUCGGAUGUGCCCAGAUGGGAUUAGCUAGUAGGUGGGGUAAAGGCUCACCUAGGCGACGAUCCCUAGCUGGUCCGAGAGGAUGACCAGCCACACUGGAACUGAGACACGGUCCAG